CUUGCGCUCAUACGGUAGGAAGCGCACACUACAAAAUUAAAGAGGAAAUUGAGUAUUUGAAUAAAUCCUCCAAGUGUGCUGUGAUCCACGUCUUGUCAAUGUCUUCAUUUUACGGCCAUGUCAACAAAUAUGACCUGAGAGUUUGGAACUCAUCAAAUAUAGCCCAUUCGGCUCAACCGUGCCUUCACGCAUUCAAAAAACUACCAGUUCCGGGACUCAUCAUUUAUAAACCGAUGUGCCAUAAGAUCCUUCGUGAAACUUCACCACAGCUGGAUGCUAAAGGCAAACAAUCACAAAUGCAGUUUUCAUGCAGCAGAAAAUCAUAACCUAUAAACGCCAAUAGGGAACACCUUAUAAAAGUACUUAGCAUGCAAAAACUUUACACGGAAAUAUACGUUACACAGUGGUGCUUACUCUACGCUGAAA
rnacentral:misc_RNA from 1 species